GACGGAGGGCGCAAGCGUUGUUCGGAAUUACUGGGCGUAAAGCGCGCGCAGGCGGGAAGAUAAGUCUGGAGUGAAAUUCCGGGGCUCAACUCCGGAGCUGCCAUUGAAACUGUUAGACUUGAGGAUGAGAGAGGUGAGUGGAAUUCCCAGUGUAGAGGUGAAAUUCGUAGAUAUUCGGAAGAACACCAGUGGCGAAGGCGACUUACUGGACACAUAUUGACGCUGAGGUGCGAAAGCGUGGGGAGCAAACAGG
rnacentral:rRNA from 1 species